rnacentral:tRNA from 1 species
UGGGCUAUAGCUCAGUGGUAGAGCACUUGCCUCCCAUGGAUGAGGCACUGGGUUCAAUCCUCAGCAACACAU